CUUCCGUAGGUGAACCUGCGGAGGGAUCAUUACCGAGUUUACAACUCCCAAACCCCUGUGAACAUACCACUUGUUGCCUCGGCGGAUCAGCCCGCUCCCGGUAAAACGGGACGGCCCGCCAGAGGACCCCUAAACUCUGUUUCUAUAUGUAACUUCUGAGUAAAACCAUAAAUAAAUCAAAACUUUCAACAACGGAUCUCUUGGUUCUGGCAUCGAUGAAGAACGCAGCAAAAUGCGAUAAGUAAUGUGAAUUGCAGAAUUCAGUGAAUCAUCGAAUCUUUGAACGCACAUUGCGCCCGCCAGUAUUCUGGCGGGCAUGCCUGUUCGAGCGUCAUUUCAACCCUCAAGCACAGCUUGGUGUUGGGACUCGCGUUAAUUCGCGUUCCCCAAAUUGAUUGGCGGUCACGUCGAGCUUCCAUAGCGUAGUAGUAAAACCCUCGUUACUGGUAAUCGUCGCGGCCACGCCGUUAAACCCCAACUUCUGAAUGUGACC
rnacentral:rRNA from 1 species